UUUCAUUACCUUUAUCAUUCAUUGCCAUUUUAUAUUUCAUGCAACUUGUUUAUGUUUCAGUCCUUUUCACUUUGCUCACUUGAUCCAUAUCUUGUGAUUAUAUAUAUUGUGUACUUGUGAUUUUGUUUUGUCUAGGGUCUUAAGAUCUUAAAAUACCUAAUAACAAUAAAAAACCCUAAAAUAUAUCUUGGUGGACUGUUGAACUUAAUCUGAUCUUUUGGACUUAGAGUAGGCAAC
rnacentral:lncRNA from 1 species